AUUGAACGCUGGCGGCAGGCCUAACACAUGCAAGUCGAACGAGUGGCGGACGGGUGAGUAAUGUCUGGGAAACUGCCUGAUGGAGGGGGAUAACUACUGGAAACGGUAGCUAAUACCGCAUACCAUCAGAUGUGCCCAGAUGGGAUUAGCUUGUGGGUGGGGUAACGGCUCACCAAGGCGACGAUCCCUAGCCGGUCUGAGAGGAUGACCGUCCACACUGGAACUGAGGCAGCGUCCGGACUCCCACGGAAGGCAGCAGUGGGGAAUAUUGCGCAAUGGGCGCAAGCCUGAUGCAGCCAUGCCGCGUGUAUGAAGAAGGCCCUCGGGUUGUAAAGUGCUUUCAGCAGGGAGGCGUUACCCGCAGAAGAAGCACCGGCUAACUCCGUGCCAGCAGCCGCGGUAAUAC
rnacentral:rRNA from 1 species